rnacentral:tRNA from 1 species
GGGGCUGUCGUCAAACGGGAAGACACGAGUCUUGCACACUCGAGAUGAGGGUUCGAUUCCCUCCCGCUCCA